rnacentral:rRNA from 1 species
AUUGAACGCUGGCGGCAGGCCUAACACAUGCAAGUCGAACGAGUGGCGGACGGGUGAGUAAUGUCUGGGAAACUGCCUGAUAGAGGGGGAAAACUACUGGAAACGGUAGCUAAUCCCGCAUACUCUCGGAUGUGCCCAUAUGGGAUUGGCUAGUAGGUGGGGUAAAGGCUCACCUAGGAGACGAUCCCUAGCUGGUCUGAGAGGAUGACCAGCCACACUUGAACUGAGACACGGUCCAGACUCCUACGGGAGGCAGCAGUGGGGAAUAUUGCACAAUGGGCGCAAGCCUGAUGCAGCCAUGCCGCGUGUAUGAAGAAGGCCUUCGGGUUGUAAAGUACUUUCAGCGGGGAGGCGUUACCCGCAGAAGAAGCACCGGCUAACUCCGUGCCAGCAGCCGCGGUAAUAC